GGAAAUUUCCAGACAUGAGUCCAGCGCGUGAUCGGGAGCGCGCCUUUCUUGUUUCUCCUUUUCUGUUGACGAAGCUUUUGUCCGGUUGAAAUAUUAUUGAUUAUUUAUGACAAAAACAACCUGAGGAUUGAUUUUAAACAUGUUUGACAUGUUUCUACGAACUUUUAUUUUACUUUUUUGACUUUUCAUCUGGGUGUUGAGAGCGCGCUUUGUGCCUUUGGAUUACUGAACUAAACGCACCAACAAAAUUGAGGUUUUUGGACAUAAAGAGGGACAUUAUUGAACAAAACAAACAUUUAUUGUGUAACAUGGAGUUCUGGGAGUGCCACCAGAUGAAGAUCAUCAAUGUGACGGCCUACCCCGGACGACGCUGGGUCAAUUGUGCGCUGCCCUAUGGGACUCCGAAUCACGGCCGGAUGUGAUACAGCCUUGAUUUGAACCUGCGUUAGAAGUUCAAAACGAGACCUGAGCCCUAGGACCAUGCCUCAGGACUACCUGGCAUGAUGACUCCUUGCUGUUCCCAGUCCACCUGGCCGUUGUGCUGCUCCAGUUUCAACUGUUCUGCCUGCGGCUAUGGAACCCUGACCUGUUCACCGGACGUGCUUGUUGCACCCUCGACAACUACUAUGAUUAUUAUUAUUUGACCAUGCUGGUCAUUUAUGAACAUUUUAACAUCUUGACCAUGUUCUGUUAUAAUAUCCACCCGGCACAGCCAGAAGAGGACUGGCCACCCCUCAUAGCCUGGUUCCUCUCUAGGUUUCUUCCUGGGUUUUUGGCCUUUCUAGGGAGUUUUUCCUAGGGAGUUUUUCCUAGCCACCGUGCUUCUUUCACAUGC
rnacentral:lncRNA from 1 species